rnacentral:rRNA from 1 species
AGGAUUAACGCUGGCGGCGUGCAUAAACAUGCAAGUCGAGCGCAGCGCAUUUUGGGGUAACCCGGAAUGUGUUCAGCGGCGCACGGGUGAGUAACACGUGAGCAACCUACCUUCGAGUCUGGGAUAGCCCUGGGAAACCAGGAUUAAUACCGGAUGUGGUCACGUUAAGGAUCUUGACGUGAGUAAAGGCGAAAGCCGCUCGAUGAUGGGCUCGCGGCCUAUUAGCUUGUUGGUGGGUAACGGCCUACCAAGGCGAUGAUGGGUAGCUGGUCUGAGAGGACGAUCAGCCACACUGGGACUGAGACACGGCCCAGACUCCUACGGGAGGCAGC